rnacentral:lncRNA from 1 species
AGGACUUGCAUCAUGGUAGCUUGCUCACUCGCUUCUCCCAUGUAUGCGGUUGAGUUGUACCUUGCAAGAUAAACAAGAGAUGCCUUAGCUUUUCAAUAGGUAAAUAAGAAAGAAAACGAGAAAGAAAAGAUACAAAUUUCCUUUUUUUGUUUUUUUUAUAAAUUCGAAUAGGCAAUAGACACUAAUAAAAGCUGUAGUAGUAAUAGAAUUGGAAAGACUUGGAAAAGGUGAUCGACCGGGAAGGAAACAAUUUGAAAACUCUUUGCAAAAAUGGAAACCGAAUUAUGCAAUCCUAGCAACACGUUUUUAUUUUUUUAUUUUUUUUUUUUUGACUUGAUGAAGAUUAAAACUAAGCAGAACAGGAUGUAACAAUCGGAUGCAAGCAAGAUGUGAAGAAAACAACUAAGUGCAACAAUGAAACGCGAUCUCUUUAUUUGGUUUUAUGAUUUCAUGAAAGCAGAAACAAUGAAUCACAAAUCGGAUGCAAAUAGAAGAGACAAGGAUAGAUAUAACCUGAUGCUGAAGGAACUUCAGCUCUGAUACCAGAAAUGAUACAAGCCUAAGCUAUCAAAGGCUGUACGUCCCCAAGCAAGAGAGAAGGAGCCGAUCUAACACAAGGGUGAUCCGGAUGGACUGAUCUAAUCAACCAAGGGAUCUGAAC